AUGACUUUGGUCUCCGUCCUCAUCUGGACUCUCCUCUGCUGCUGCUUCACAGAGUCCAGAGGCCAGGUCACAGUGACUCAGCCUGGAGCAGUGAGCUCUGAUCUGGGAGCCUCCACCACCAUCACAUGUACCACCAGUCAGGAUGUUUAUGGCUCUAACGAGUUAAACUGGUACCAACAGAGAGAUGGAGAAACUCCUAAACUUCUCAUUUACUAUGCUACCAAUCGACAAUCAGGGAUUUCCAGUCGUUUUUCAGGCAGUGGAUCAAACUCUCAUUUCACUCUGACCAUCAGUGAUGUUCAGGCUGAAGAUGCAGCAGUUUAUUACUGUCAGAGUGGUCACUCUAUCAACAGUCAAGCUGUGCUCACACAGUGAAAAACCAUCGUACAAAAACCUCCUUCAGCUGCAGAGG